rnacentral:tRNA from 1 species
GAAGGUAUAGUUCAGUGAUAGAGCAGAUGCCCAGCAUGCCCAAGGUCCUGGGUUCGAUUCCCAGUAUCUCCA